AGCCCCGCCGAGCUGAGCGGGGCGGCCCCGGGUCGGGGUUGUGUGGUGCUGCGAGGCUCCGUCAGGUGCCUGCCCGUGGGCCUGUCGGGCUUCCAUCCCUCCCGCAGCACGGCUUGUGCUGCACCGUGGGCGUUCUGUCAGGAUUUGGUGCUUCUAGGUGAAGUUUCACAGAUGUCCAUCGAAUGGAAUCGGUGCAGAAAUACUGGCCUGGGUGUACGGGGAGACCAGCAGAUGUGAGGAUGGAUCCAUUGGCUUCACUGGGGUGGGAAAGAUGCUCAAGAAAAACGCUUGGGAACAUCACCAGCAUGAAGGAAAAGAGAGCAGAUCUGCUCCAUCUGUAAAUAACAUGUUGAGGCUUCUGAGAAAGAGGCAAAAACCUGGAGUGCAGUUAGCUUAUGGUUCUCCUGGACACCUGCAAACUGUUUCUUGGAAGUGCAGAUGUUGCACAGUUUCCAUUCUUUCCAGGAAAUUUGCUGAACUGGUCUGAGAAUCCCUCAAAAAGAGUACAGGACUGUGGGUAAGGUUUGUCUUCAAUGCAGCUCCACAGAAGCCUGAAUGUAUAUAAGGAAAGAAGCUGAAUGUUAUAGUCUGAUAGGAAAGAGGCCUGGAUAUGAUUGUGAGUUUAAACGAGCAGCAAAACUGAGCUCUCUCUGUGCUUUUCACAUCUGGUGAGGCGACACAAAAUAGUUCCUGCCUUUUGAGACUGAAAGAAGCAGAUGAGCCAUUUGGUCAAACACGGGUAAAUGCAGUAUCCAUGUUUCUAUGCUAUAGGCCUGCCCUGCCAGUGGAGAAAUACUGGGAAUGGAUUUCUGAAGCCAUAGAACAAUGAGUGGUUACAAACAUCCCGCUGAUAAUUUUGCUUUGAAUUACUGUGUGCUACUUCUUUCAUGUGUGUGAAUGUAGUCCUCCUGCAGGUAAAACAGACGUGGAAAACAGAGUAGCUCCACUAAGUGCUAUCAGCCUUGGAGGGCAGGGCUGGCAAAACUUUGCACUGUUAUUCAUUAUUUCGAUGGAUAGUCUCCAAAAGCAGGAGGGAGAAAAAGUACUUUAUAGCUCCAUAUGCUUUUUUCUUCAAGGAGUUUGGUAGGUUUAGAGACACUGAAGUGAGAACGAGCUUAUAUCCUAGUGAAAUGGGUGAGUAAUAACACUGCGGGCUUCAGAGGAAAUGGUAGGCAACAGAUUUUUUUGGUACCUCUCAUAGGCACAGGGAAGUUGAGAUCACUGCUUUUGAAAAUCCAAGUAUACGCAGCUUCACCAAGGACUGCACAGCAACUCUUUAUCACAGUUAAAAUUAAAACGUGCAUCUGCACAGUCCGGGCAUGUUCUGUAAGCUAGAGAUGUCUGAUUAUCUGCAGGCCUGAUCUGGUCCCUGGAACAAGUUCAUAUAGCCCAGCAAAAACUUGUCUGAAUAUACAAUGCAAUCCAGCUCCUAAAUAAGAAGCAUUCAUAUGGUCUGUCCCCUUACCUACCAAGAAAUGUCACAACCCCACUUAAUCGUACGGAAGCGUAAUGCAGUUGUCGGGUCAUCUCUUUAUUGAAGAGUACUUUCUGGGUCAUUUCCCUGUCUUGACCUUUUAAUUCUUAUAACCAUUUGAUUUUCUGCCACUGUCAGUGAGAGAACCUUUGUGUAACCACCCCUGGCCAUGGGGUACCUCAGUUUCUAUGACUUAAGGCACUCUAAGGGAAGCCUCUAGGCUACAUCAGAACAUACAACAGUAGAACACUAGACUCUGAGUUACUUACAUACUCACUAACGUGACCCUUUGUAGACUUCUGCAUGUUACAUACUAAGAACGCUUAAACCCCUUAGAUUUUAGAAAUGAGAACAGAACACAACAAACAAAGCAUACGCAACAUAAACCAAUUAACACCAAGCCACACAGAGCUGUGGCCACUGCUACAACCCAACAUCUGUCCUUUAUCUGUCUGGUUAAUCCAGGGAGCAGUCCUGCAUCUUUAGGAGCUCACCAUCUUGCCACUGCAAAAGGUCAAACUGCUCAAUGCCGUGUGGUUACGAGAGCAAGAAGGAUCAAUCCUGCAAAUUCAUUUGAAAGAAUCAAGGCGUUUUCUGUUCCGUGUAUGCAUCCCAUGUGAUGGUACUGGAGCUUUAAGCUUAACGGGAGAGCGUUUCCUCUGUGUGCAGGCAGCUGGGGCAGGAUAAAUGGGCAGGCACUGCCACGGCAGUCAUUGAUUGAUAUGGAUGGUCAUCUCCAGAUUGAUUAUUGUAGAAUCAGGACAGAAUGAAAGGGCCCAGAGGAAAAAUCAGCACCUGUGGUUGCAUUGAA
rnacentral:lncRNA from 1 species